UCCCUCUUUUUUUCCCAAACCCCUCCCUCGGUUUCACCAAAAGAGAAGCUUUAGAGCUUCCAUUUUCUUUAACUUGAAAAAUUAAAACCCUCACUUGAAAAAUUCACAAUACGUUCUCCACAAUAUGAAAGAUUUAAAAGCUUUUUUGACGGUUCAAUUACUUGGGUUCACGCUUGGACCGUCACUGAUGCAAUUUUUUGCUUUCUUCCCCAUUCUAUGAAAUAGAUUCACAACGGUGAGUUUGAUUGUGGGUUCAGAUCUAUGGUAAUUCCUCUUCCCCAUUCUUUAAUUUUGCUUUUCUGUGUUUCUUUCUUCUUGCAUGUGGGUUUUAGGUUUAUUUCCUCUGUUAAUUUGUGUUUUCCCUUAACUGAUUUUUCCUCUAAUUUGUGGCUUUUCUGUUUUACGAUUCUCUACUGAGAGUAAUAGAAAUUUUUGUUGAAUCGGUGGUGUAUUUUGAAGAAGGAUAUAACACUCUCUUUUGAAUUCGAGAUGUAAGUCUUCUUUCUCCUUCUGCAUUAGGUAUUUUAGGUUGUAAAAUUUAGCUUUUUCUGUAUUUUUGUAGGUUAAUAUCUGGGAUUUUGGGUCUAGUUAAUUGAAAUAUUUCCUCUUGCAUGUGUAUUUUAGAACUCUCGAGGACCUUCAGAGAAGACGCAAUUGUCACUAGCUGCUAUUCCUCUUUCUGCUCUACAUGGUGUUUGAAUCAAUCUCAAGGUACAAACAGAUUUUUAGUUUUCUUCGUAGUGUUGAAUAUUAAUUUUUUUUUCUUUCUAGAUUUGUAAUACAAAACGUGCAGACAAUAGAUUAGGUUGCCUGAACGUCAAUUCUGCUUUCUUUCAAAAGGCUAGUGAAUCAAUAACAUAUUUUCUAUUUUAUUUGUCAAGUGAUGAGGAAUAUAUUAGACUGAUAUUAUCAGUUUAUGGGAUUUGGUUAACAAGUAAUUACAUACGUAUUGCAGUUGUUUUAGUUGUGAUCGUUCAUAACAUUAUUAACAUAUAUCACAUUUGCAGUUUCCUACGGUAUGUUUCUUUGGCAAUUUGACUUCAUCUUCAUGCCUUUUCUUCUGUGGAAGAAAUUCUUCUUUCUUCAUUCUCUAUUUUUGUUUUGGUCUUGAGGUAUAUGAGCAGUCAAUUCAAUUGUUAACAUGGAUUUAUUUAUAACCAAUGAUCUUGCACAAUGAAAAUCUGAAUUAGUUAGAUCGUUAACUUCAAAACCAGAUGAUUAAAGAAAAAAUGAACCAUUUUCCGCUAUUGAAUGCUCUUGACAUAUAGAAUAGAUCUGACAAAACUUACUUUGCUAUUACAAAAUUUUGAUAUGUUAACUAAUCGUUUACAAACAAUUGGAUUGGAUUUUGCUAUUUUUCUUCUACCAUUUAUUGUCAUUGUUCAAAUGAGGAAUAUAUUAGAAGCUUCUAAUAUAUCCAUAAUAUUUGUCACUAAUUCUUAUAGAAUUGAAUAUUCUUAUAACAUUGGUCAUUAAGAGUGUGUGUACAAUUAGUUCCUAUGUAUAUGUGUUGUUCGGCAAAGCUAAUAUUUUAUACUUAUCGUUACUCCUAUUUAUAAUUUGACGAUCUGAUUUCCUCCUUUCUUUAAUGCUUGAGUGUGGCUGUACAUUUAAAACCAAGAGAUUUGUUUGAUAUGGGAGAGGUUGAUGAAGGAGAAAUAUACGAGAAUGAAGGAGUUAUAGCUCAUGAAUUCUCAUUUUGAUACUUCUUUUGUUUGUGUUUGAGUUUAUCAAGUUGAUUUUGUCAGAUAUAGUUUAGUGGGCACUCAAUAACUCUAUUUGUCUUAGCAUACAAGCAUUUCCCUUACUCACUGAAGUUCUGAUUUUCUCUUUGUUUUAUCCUUAUAUUAUAUACAUUAUAUAUAUGUACCCUUUCUUUCCUUUGCUUCACCUAUACUCUUGUCUCUCAAAGUUUUAUUUUCAGUUCUGCUUUUGAACCAAUUGACUAAGCACUUUUUUGUAAUACCAAGAACUGAAUUUUUUCCAUUUGUUCUCAUGCUUAUUUGAGAAUAAGAAGUUGUUUUUAUUUGGCUUUAAUGGAUGUUUCUUGUGAUCUUGAAGUGGAUGUCAAUGGUGAAGAAAUCUUUAUUGUUGAUAAGGUAGAUUUUCUUUCUUUUAGCUUUCUGCUUCUUCUCGUUUGUCUUUAUAAAAUAUGAACAAGCUCUGCAUUUCCUCUCCCGUUUCUUUUUUGUUUGUUUGUCCAAAUUAUUACCUUCUUAAUUAUGUUAUUUUGUUUUUUAGUUCUAAUUCUCAAUUCUUAGAUUUUGCUUGGUUUGCAUAGAAUAAUGAUGUGUUUUAGAUGCAUAGAUGUGACUCCUUUUAUGUUUUAGAUAGUUGGUUUCUUCAGCACUGUUAUUUAGUCUAUUAGAUGAUAACUAUAAGUCUUAGCCAAUGCUUUUCUUUUAUUGCUUGCAGGUAUGCCGAAGCCCAAGCGUUACGAGAACUUUCCGAACUCAAUUCAGUCAGUACCUCAAUUCAACGGUAAGAAUAGUUCAUAACUUUCUUAUUUAAUUUUGUAAAGUAUGAUUGAUCAGUCCAAGUAUUACUCUAAAUUGGGAUACCUGAAGAAUGCUUUCUUGUUUCUUACAUUCACAAACUUCGCAAGUCAAUUUAAUCUUUAUGUUAAAUUCACUGUCUAUAUUCACUCGCAGAGCUUUUAGCAUAACUUUAUGUUAACACUGUUAAUUCACCGUCUAUAUUCUAUGAUGUUUAAGAUGUACAGAGAAAAUUCACGAGUUCUCCUUUUCAUGGACUGGGUGAGACAUAGAGAGAAUAUUUGUUUCUUUUGCUUGAAUAUUCAGUACUAUGACCACAAAUUUCUCUUGUUAUUUUUCUCUUUUGCGGAUAAGCUUCUCUUCUGAGCCGAAGACAUUUGGCUAUUUGACUUGCAGGCUAUCUAAGGUUGUUUUCUUUAUGAAACAAAAGUAUGGCAACAUAAAAUUUAAGAAUAAUCACUGUUUUCAACCUCCGGUUGUAGUUUACUUACACUUUUGUCCUAUGUGAUGUUUGACAUACCUUACAACAUUAGAUGUGUCCUAACUCUAUGCCAUAAAUAUUCACUUGACUAAUCGAUAGCUUAGAUAAGUUACUGGUACUUGACUGAAGCUAAGUGAUUAUUAGUUAGGUUAUUGUUGAGGUACUUUUUGUUAAUUAUAUUUUAUUUUGAUUAUUUUUUAGCCAAGUGAUGCGGCUAGCGGAUCCAUUUUACCCAUGGAUAUAAGAUCAUCAGAUGAAAGUAAUCCUAACGACAACCAUUGAAGUUGCUUGCAAAUGUAUUAGAUAAUUAAGCAUCGCACUCGAUUGAAUGGUCAUAGUAGAUCUUUUGUCCAUAAUGGUUGGAGUGGAUGUUCUGUAUAAAGUUAGUUUUAAGACUAAUUAUAAUAUUGAUGUUUUGUGUUUAAUGGUUGGAGUAAUUGUGUUUAAGUAAAUUUUUGAGACUAAUGAUAAUUUACUUUAGUGUAUUUUGUGGUUUAUUAAUAUAUUGAUGUUACAUGAUUCCAGUAAGCAAUUUAUAUAAUUUAUUGAUGCUUCAUUAUAUUAAUAUAAUUGAAAUUGGAACAGUUAUGGAGUAACAUUGCAGGAAAAAAAAUAUUCAAUGAAUAGCGCAGGUUAUAACUGCUGCUAUUUAACCUGUAAUAAUAUUGUGUUAUAAAUUUGUGGGGUUAAAUAAAGAUAUUGCGGGGGUUUAGACCUCCGCUAUUAUUUUAAUAAGUGAUUGCCAAACUACCAAAUUGCGGAGGUUAUACCACCGUCAAAUACCCGCCACUAUAUGAUAACGGCGGUCUGUCAAAAAAACUUCGCAAAUUGGUUGCGGCGAACAUUAUUGCGGGGGUUUUGAAAACCGUCGUAAAAGUAUAUUGCGGAGGUUUCUGACCACCGCAAUAUGUAACUAAAACCUUCGCAAAUUCAGCAUUUUUUUGUAGUGACGAUGAAUAAUAAUUUGGCGGUGUUGGAGAAUUUAUGUAGUAUCAUUGAUGACUUCAAAUGGGUAUUGAAUGAUAAGAGUGGAGCUGAAUGUGCUAGUAAGUGAACCUAUUAGACUAUUUGAGCUUGAGGCUUGUAGUCAACUUGAGAGCCGUAAAUGGAUAUUGAUAAAAAAUUUUGAAUCGUAUUUUGAUUGUAAUUGGGAUUGUAAUUGUAGAUACCAAUUUGUUGGUGGCGUAUGAGCAUUUUACUCAAUGUUACGAUGUCAGAGGAGGAUUAAAAGCUUG
rnacentral:lncRNA from 1 species